GAUGCAAUUAUACAAGGUGGUCUCGUGGGGAGCCGAAGUUCGUUCGUGUUGUCCCUUAUCGUUAGUGCGUGUUUGCUUGUUGAUGUAGAAGGUUGUUCGCGGACGAAUUUUUUUAUAAAGUUUUAACCCUUAGGUGCCACCAACAAAAAAUGACAUACUGCACUUUUUGCCGAAAUCAUGUUCCGGGAGUAAAAUUUAUUCAUGCUCCGAAAUGUGCAGUGAAGCGGAAGUUGUGGGAACAAAGCCUCGGGUGCAGCCUUGGCGCUCAUUCUAAAAUUUGCGACACUCACUUCAAAGCUUCCCAGUGGAAGUCUGCACCUAACAAAGGGCAGACUUAUAAAAGGAGGAGAUUGAUUGAUAACGCCGUUCCGGAUAGAGAGGACGAAAGUUUAAAAGAUGGUUUCGUCAAUUCGAACACGCAAACAGAGGACGAAAUGAUAAAUCAUGCAAUGUUCAAGGAAAACGAGUGCC